UAGACAUAUUAAGACGUCCACUAAACAAUUACAUGCAGUCGCUUUUGGAAGCAAAAUUCCUGCCUUGGCAUUAAUGUCAAAAGGCCGGCACACUUGGUUGUAAGCUGACUCCGUGGAUGCUUCUCGAUUUACGGAUAUCAUAAGACAAUGAAGUAGAUAUAUAUUUUUUUAAUUUGAACCGUAUAGACUAUCAAAAUUCAAAAAGAGUUAAAAAUUACAUAUAUGAUCUCUCUGCUCAAAUUGAAGGAUUACAAACCAAGGGGAGAAGAAUAAUAUGCAGAGAUGAAUUAUCAUUAUUAUCAUGUUUGGUUCCUGAAGCCUUCAGCAUAAAGCUGAAGCAUCCAAUAUGGUGCCAGUCAUCAAGUUAGCUGUUUUGAAUAGGAACUAAUGGUAGUUUGCCUCCAUAUACAUCAGGGAGCUGGCUCUCAUCAAUGUCAUUAAGCAAAGUGGAUUUCAACUUUUUGUUCUCAACAAAAUUUAUCUGCAAAAAUUUGGUAACCAUUUACUCAACAUACAUAAUAUAGUGAACAAACCAACCACCUGUGCAGAUUAUGCUUGCUCAGUUAAUGUCUAGAGAUCCUGAAACAUCCAAACAUUUAGAUUUGGACAGUGUUGUACAGGACCUUGAGAUAUUUCAACUUCUGCUUUGAAAUCAUUCAUUUAGUGACACUAAUCCCAAAAAUAUUUAAAUAAGGCUAUGCUUGUUUGAGGGAAUAUAUUCUUCUUGAAAAUAUUUUCUGUACUCUUUGGUGUUUAGAGUGCUUAGAAAAACUGGUAUAUUGGAAAAUGUUUUCCUAAUCAAUGCAAAACCUAAGCCAUCUUGAAGGAAAAAAUAUAUUUUUUUUCCAAGUAAAAAAAGAACAUCUUUAAAUUUUGACAAACCCAUUAAAAGGGAAGAGACAAAUAAGGGAACAUCAUUAGCAAAUACCUGUUAGGAUCAUGUUUCCCUUGCAAAGAAAGACAUUUCAUACCUUCUUUUUGGUUUUGCUGUCAAUAAAUGGGUAAACAAGCUUCCAUGCAGUCAUGAAUAUGUAAGGCACAUGGACUAUAAACAAUUUGGCUAACCUCUCAGGAUAACAGUCCUGUCACCAAAGCAUUUACAUUAACACUGUAAGUAUUUAUACCUACUAUUGCAUUAUUGUAUAACUACCUAAUUGCAAAAAUUAACAUGCAGAAGUAGGAGCGAAACUUCAGAAACAGAGGAGUAUAAUCAAUUUGCAAAUAAAUGCAUUAAAUGGAGCGGUGCAAGAUGGAAUAUCAUACCUGCAGUAUUGAUAAUGCUGCUAGAUAUCCACGAAUGUCACUGUUAGUAUAUCCCCAUCCUUCAAGAUCUGCAAUGGCCACAAACUUUUCCUGCCCAGUUGGCAUUCUGUAACCCCAGAGAGGUGUUAAAUAAGCUUGAUUAAUUGGCUAACUUAAACCAACAUCUGAUAAUUGAAUUAACCAUGUUCUAUGAAAUUAUAAAGGGGUUUUAAAGGAAAUUAUAAGGUCUAUUCACAUAAUGAGUGUGUGGUAUAUGAUGUUUUUCUCAAAAAUACAUACAAUCAACUUGCUCAAUUCACAUGGUCAAUUUGCUGUUUUCAGAGGAUGAUCAAUAUCAUUUUCAUAAGAUUUAAAUCACAUUGGAUGAAUAACACACUGAUAUCACUUCAGCAGAGAUUGUGUAAUGUCAUGGAGAUCCCAAGUCAUAAAAGAAAAAGAGAAUUACCUUUCACAUAUUCUCUCAAGAGUAAAGGCUACAAAACGCUUGAACUCCUCCAAAUUUCCUUUGUACGGUUUAUGUUUGGCUCCAAAAACAACCACUAUAGGGUGAUUCGUCUUAUCAACACCUUGCAUAAACAACUUAUUUUGGGCAAGUUCAUGUGGGAUCUCUGAUGGAGAUAUAAAGCCAUUAGGGAGAAAUGAUCGCCUCCAGCUUAGGUAUUUGAGUAACAAGGUAGAAGCCUUCUCAAUAUCUAGCUCACGAGCACGCAGAAAUCUCCGGAUCAUCAAAUCAUCCACGUC
rnacentral:misc_RNA from 1 species